rnacentral:rRNA from 1 species
UACAGAGGGUGCGAGCGUUGUUCGGAAUUACUGGGCGUAAAGCGUGCGUAGGUGGUUUGUUAAGUCUGUUGUGAAAGCCCCGGGCUCAACCUGGGAAUGGCAAUGGAUACUGGCAGGCUAGAGUGCGGUAGAGGGUAGUGGAAUUCCCGGUGUAGCGGUGAAAUGCGUAGAGAUCGGGAGGAACACCAGUGGCGAAGGCGGCUACCUGGACCAGCACUGACACUGAGGCACGAAAGCGUGGGGAGCAAACAGG